CUUGAUCGACCCCAGCAGAAGCGGCCGCUCGCGGUCCUGCCCGUAGGUCGCCAGCAGCGCCUGCGCCUC
rnacentral:antisense_RNA from 1 species